ACAGUACAAACUGAACAGGCGCUGACCAAACCGUCAUUUGCCGGGCCUCUAUGGCAGCAGAUGUCCAACAUCUGCGGGACAGU
rnacentral:ncRNA from 1 species